GACGAACGCUGGCGGCGUGCCUAAUACAUGCAAGUAGAACGCUGAAGGAGGAGCUUGCUCUUCUGGAUGAGUUGCGAACGGGUGAGUAACGCGUAGGUAACCUGCCUGGUAGCGGGGGAUAACUAUUGGAAACGAUAGCUAAUACCGCAUAACAGUAGAUGUUGCAUGACAUUUGCUUAAAAGGUGCACUUGCACCACUACCAGAUGGACCUGCGUUGUAUUAGCUAGUUGGUGGGGUAACGGCUCACCAAGGCGACGAUACAUAGCCGACCUGAGAGGGGGAUCGGCCACACUGAGAAUGAGACAAUACCCAGACUCCUACGGGAGGCAGCAGUAGGGAAUCUUCGGCAAUGGACGGAAGUCUGACCGGGCAACGCCGCGUGAGUGAAGAAGGUUUUCGGAUCGUAAAGCUCUGUUGUAAGAGAAGAACGAGUGUGAGAGUGGAAAGUUCACACUGUGACGGUAACUUACCAGAAAGGGACGGCUAACUACGUG
rnacentral:rRNA from 1 species